rnacentral:rRNA from 1 species
GACAGAGGGUGCAAACGUUGUUCGGAAUUACUGGGCGUAAAAGCGCACGUAGGCGGUCUUUUUAAGUCGGGGGGUGAAAUCCUGGAGCUCAACUCCAGAACUGCCUUCGAUACUGGAAGACUCGAGUCCGGGAGAGGUGAGUGGAACUGCGAGUGUAGAGGUGAAAUUCGUAGAUAUUCGCAAAGAACACCCAGUGGCGAAGGCGGCUCACUGGUCCGGUACUGACGCUGAGGUGCGAAAAGCGUGGGGGAGCAAACAG